AAGACUAUAGACCUGCGGAGUACCUGCGGAGGGAUCAUUACUGAGAUAGGGUUUCUUCUGAGCCCGACCUCCAACCCUUUGCUUAAACCACCUUGUUGCUUUGGCAGGCCCCGUCCCUUUGGGGACCGCCGGGAGUGUUUAAUCACCCCUGGCCAGUGCCUGCCAGUAGCCAAUUUAAGUUCUUUUUUAACCAUGUUGUCUGAAAAAAACACAAGAAAUUCAAUUAAAACUUUUAACAAU
rnacentral:misc_RNA from 1 species